rnacentral:rRNA from 1 species
UGCAGUCGAGCGGAACGAGUUAACUGAACCUUCGGGGAACGUUAACGGCGUCGAGCGGCGGACGGGUGAGUAAUGCCUAGGAAAUUGCCCUGAUGUGGGGGAUAACCAUUGGAAACGAUGGCUAAUACCGCAUAAUNNCUUCGGNNCAAAGAGGGGGACCUUCGGGCCUCUCGCGUCAGGAUAUGCCUAGGUGGGAUUAGCUAGUUGGUGAGGUAAGGGCUCACCAAGGCGACGAUCCCUAGCUGGUCUGAGAGGAUGAUCAGCCACACUGGAACUGAGACACGGUCCAGACUCCUACGGGAGGCAGCAGUGGGGAAUAUUGCACAAUGGGCGCAAGCCUGAUGCAGCCAUGCCGCGUGUGUGAAGAAGGCCUUCGGGUUGUAAAGCACUUUCAGUCGUGAGGAAGGUUNNGNNNUUAAUANCNNANNNAUUUGACGUUAGCGACAGAAGAAGCACCGGCUAA